GAUCACGUGGAGAGAUUUGUGUCUGCUUGCAACCACGCUAAAACAAUGCUAAAAGGCACUCU
rfam:Porphyromonas sp. HMSC065F10 Porphyromonas_spHMPREF2890-1.0_Cont351.2, whole genome shotgun sequence.